rnacentral:rRNA from 1 species
CCUACGGGGGGCAGCAGUGGGGGAUAUUGCACAAUGGGCGAAAGCCUGAUGCAGCGACGCCGCGUGAGGGAAGACGGUCUUCGGAUUUUAAACCUCUGUCUUUGGGGAAGUAAAUGACGGUACCCAAAGAGGAAGCUCCGUCUAACUACGUUCCAGCAGCCGCGGUAAUACGUAGGGAGCAAGCGUUGUCCGGAAUUACGGGGUGUUAGGGGGGCGUAGUCGGGUUGGCAAGUAGAAUGGUAAGUCCAUCGGGUCAACCGGUAGCUGCGUUCUAAACUGCCGUUCUUGAGUGAAGUAGAGGCAGGCGGAAUGCAUGGUGUAGCGGUGAAAUGCGUAGAUAUUAGGCAGAACACCAGUGGCGAAGGCGGCCUGCUGAGCUUUAACUGACGCUGAGGCUCGAAAGCGUGGGGAGCAAACAGGAUUAGAUACCCGUGUAGUC